UGAGUAACCUGCCCCUAGCUCUGGGAUAACUGCGGGAAACUGUAGCUAAUACCGGAUGUGACACGAGACUGCAUGGUCUUCGUGUGGAAAGAUUUAUCGGCUAGGGAUGGGCCGCGGUCUAUCAGCUUGUUGGUGUGGGUAAUGGCCCACCAAGGCGACGACGGGUAGCCGGCCUGAGAGGGUGACCGGCCACACUGGGACUGAGACACGGCCCAGACUCCUACGGGAGGNA
rnacentral:rRNA from 1 species